rnacentral:rRNA from 1 species
GCACAAGCGGAGGAACAUGUGGUUUAAUUCGAUGAUACGCGAGGAACCUUACCUGGGCUUAAAUGUAGAGUGCAUUUUUUAGAGAUAGAAAUUCCCUUCGGGGCUUUCUGCAAGGUGCUGCAUGGUUGUCGUCAGCUCGUGCCGUGAGGUGUCGGGUUAAGUCCCAUAACGAGCGCAACCCUUAUCGUUAGUUGCCAUCUGGUAAUGCAGGGGACUCUAGCGAAACUGCCACCGUAAGGUGAGAGGAAGGUGGGGAUGACGUCAAAUCAGCACGGCCCUUAUGUCCAGGGCUACACACGUGUUACAAUGGUCGGUACAGAGGGCAGCUACCUGGUGACAGGAUGCUAAUCUCGAAAACCGGUCUCAGUUCGGAUCGAAGUCUGCAACUCGACUUCGUGAAGCUGGAUUCGCUAGUAAUCGCGCAUCAGCUAUGGCGCGGUGAAUACGUUCCCGGGCCUU